AGCAGCCGCGGUAAUUCCAGCUCCAAUAGCGUAUAUUAAAGUUGUUGCAGUUAAAAAGCUCGUAGUUGAAUUUCGAGAUCAGUACGCUGGUCGUGCCUUCGGUAUGUACUGGUGUCACUGGUUUCUCCCUUCUGAAGAACCGUUAUGUCAUUAAGUUGGUGUGGCGGGGAAUCAGGACUGUUACUUUGAAAAAUUAGAGUGUUUAAAGCAGGCUCGCGCUUGAAUACAUUAGCAUGGAAUAAUGAAAUAGGACGUUUGACCCUAUUUUGUUGGUUUCUAGGAUCGACGUAAUGAUUAAUAGGGAUAGUUGGGGGCAUUAGUAUUCAAUUGUCAGAGGUGAAAUUCUUGGAUUUAUUGAAGACUAACUACUGCGAAAGCAUUUGCCAAGGAUGUUUUCAUUAAUCAAGAACGAAAGUUAGGGGAUCGAAGACGAUCAGAUACCGUCGUAGUCUUAACCAUAAACUAUGCCGACUAGGGAUCGGGAUGAUGUUAAUUUUUAAUGUACUCA
rnacentral:rRNA from 1 species